GAUUUGAGCUUCUGUUAAUUGAUAUUGUCACGACAUACUAAAGUGUUGGUACAACGUCGUGAUAUUGUAGUUUUUCAAGAGUUUCCUGUUUUAUCAAAUAUAAAACUUUGAGCUGACCUGGGUGAUAUUUAUUGUUCAAAUACUUGUUGUGCUGAGAAGGAGAGUAAACCGAAUUAAUUAUAAUCUCGUCAUGCAUUCUACCAAAAUUUGCAUACUCGCAUUCGCUGCAUUUUUACUAAUCGGAAUUGUCAGCAGUCAGGGUUCGUGGCAGUCAUAUGUCGAUAGUAAUCUGUUGGAUGCAGGUUUCAUAGAAGGAGCUAUUAUUGGCAAAGACGAUGGUUCCGUUUGGGCAGCAUCGCCGAAUUUCAAUCCGACUGAAAACGAAAGACAAACACUUGUCGGUCGUUUUAAUGGUUCUUAUGGCUCAUUUUACCUGGACGGUCAAAAAUAUCUUGUUAUUAAAUCAGAUGACCGAUCAAUUUAUGGAAAGAAGGGUGUCGAUGGUGCGAUUUGCGUCAGAACAUCGAGUUCAAUUAUAAUUGCUAUUUACAAUCACCAAUUACAGCCAGGACAAGCGGCUAAUAUCGUCGAAAAACUUGCUGAUUAUUUAAUUGACAACGGCUAUUGAUUUAAUGAAUUAAAAUUGUAGACUUAAAAAA